GACGAAGGAUGCAAGCGUUAUCCGGAUUCAUUGGGUUUAAAGGGAGCGUAGGCGGGCUUGUAAGUCAGUGGUGAAAUCUGUGGGCUUAACCCACAAACUGCCAUUGAUACUGCAGGUCUAGAGUACAGUUGCCGUUGGCGGAAUAUGACAUGUAGUGGUGAAAUACUUAGAUAUGUCAUAGAACACCGAUUGCGAAGGCAGCUAACGAAACUGUAACUGACGCUGAGGCUCGAAAGCGUGGGGAGCAAACAGG
rnacentral:rRNA from 1 species